rnacentral:rRNA from 1 species
AACGAACGCUGGCGGCAUGCCUAACACAUGCAAGUCGAACGGGAUCCUAGCUUGCUAGGUGAGAGUGGCGGACGGGUGAGUAACACGUGGGAAUCUGCCUUUUGGUUCGGGAUAACCGCGGGAAACUGCGGCUAAUACCGAAUGCCCUCGUGAGAGGAAAGAUUUAUCGCCAGAAGAGGAGCCCGCGUCCGAUUAGGUAGUUGGUGGGGUAAAGGCCUACCAAGCCGACGAUCGGUAGCUGGUCUGAGAGGAUGAUCAGCCACACUGGGACUGAGAUACGGCCCAGACUCCUACGGGAGGCAGCAGUGGGGAAUAUUGGACAAUGGGGGCAACCCUGAUCCAGCAAUGCCGCGUGAGUGAUGAAGGCCUUAGGGUUGUAAAGCUCUUUUGUCAGGAACGAAACGGUUGAGGUUAAUACCCUUGGCUAAUGACGGUACCUGAAGAAUAAGCACCGGCUAACUACGUGCCAGCAGCCGCGGUAAU